CACUUCCUAUGUUCCGACAACAAUGGAGUGCCAGUCACACAGGAUGAGCACACACGGCGGACGGCGGCUGGCUGGGGUGAUAAGAAAUAUUCAAGAAUAGCUUUGUGUGCACGCGUGCUCAGUUGCAUCAGUUGUGUCCAGCUCUCUGUGACCCCAUGGACUGUAGCCUGCGUGGCUCGCGCCUCUGAUUAUCCCGGCAAGAGUACUGCGGUAGGUUGCCAUUUGGUCCUCCAGGGGAUCUUCCUCACCCAGGAACCUAACCCCCAUCUCCUGCAACUCCUGCACUGACUAGCGGAUUCUUUACCACGGAGACACCUGGGAUCCCCAAGAGCAGCUUUUUUGAGAUACGAUUCACCCAUUUAAAGUGUGCAAUUCAGUGGCUUUUAGCAUAUUCACAGAACUGUGCAAACAUCACCUCAAUCAGUUUACAGCAUGAGUAAAAGGAAACCCUUACCCUCGCUCCUCCAAACUCGCCUGCCAACCGCCAGUCCACUUCCUGUCUACAG
ensembl:lncRNA